GCCCGUUAUCCGGGUUGCGGACAGUGUCUGGUGGGUAGUUUGACUGGGGCGGUCUCCUCCUAAAGAGUAACGGAGGAGCACGAAGGUUGGCUAAUCCUGGUCGGACAUCAGGAGGUUAGUGCAAUGGCAUAAGCCAGCUUGACUGCGAGCGUGACGGCGCGAGCAGGUGCGAAAGCAGGUCAUAGUGAUCCGGUGGUUCUGAAUGGAAGGGCCAUCGCUCAACGGAUAAAAGGUACUCCGGGGAUAACAGGCUGAUACCGCCCAAGAGUUCAUAUCGACGGCGGUGUUUGGCACCUCGAUGUCGGCUCAUCACAUCCUGGGGCUGAAGUAGGUCCCAAGGGUAUGGCUGUUCGCCAUUUAAAGUGGUACGCGAGCUGGGUUUAGAACGUCGUGAGACAGUUCGGUCCCUAUCUGCCGUGGGCGCUGGAGAACUGAGGGGGGCUGCUCCUAGUACGAGAGGACCGGAGUGGACGCAUCACUGGUGUUCGGGUUGUCAUGCCAAUGGCACUGCCCGGUAGCUAAAUGCGGAAGAGAUAAGUGCUGAAAGCAUCUAAGCACGAAACUUGCCCCGAGAUGAGUUCUCCCUGACUCCUUGAGAGUCCUGAAGGAACGUUGAAGACGACGACGUUGAUAGGCCGGGUGUGUAAGCGCAGCGAUGCGUUGAGCUAACCGGUACUAAUGAACCGUGAGG
rnacentral:rRNA from 1 species